rnacentral:rRNA from 1 species
GAUGAACGCUGGCGGCGUGCCUAAUACAUGCAAGUCGAGCGAACAGACGAGGAGCUUGCUCCUUCGACGUUAGCGGCGGACGGGUGAGUAACACGUAUGUAACCUACCUAUAAGACUGGGAUAACUUCGGGAAACCGGAUCUAAUACCGGAGAAUAUUUCGAACCGCAGGGUUCGAUAGUGAAAGAUGGCUGUGCUAUCACUUAUAGAUGGACCUGCGCCGGAUUAGCUAGUUGGUAAGGUAACGGCUUACCAAGGCGACGAUUCGUAGCCGACCUGAGAGGGUGGUCGGCCACACUGGAACUGAGCCGCGGUCCAGGCUCCUACGGGAGGCCGCAGUCGGGUAUCGUCCGCAACGGGCGAAAACCUGACGGAGCGAGGCCGAGUGAGUGAUGAAGGUGUUCGGUUCGUAAAGCUCUGUUAUUAGUGAAGAACAACCGUGUAAGUAGCUGUGCACGUCUUGACGGUACCUAAUCAGAAAGCCCCGGCUAACUACGUG